UUCCAGACUCCUACGGGAGGCAGCAGUGAGGAAUAUUGGUCAAUGGGCGGGAGCCUGAACCAGCCAAGUCGCGUGAGGGAUGACGGUCCUACGGAUUGUAAACCUCUUUUGCCGGGGAGCAACGGGCGUCACGUGUGGCGCCACUGAGAGUACCCGAAGAAAAAGCAUCGGCUAACUCCGUGCCAGCAGCCGCGGUAAUACGGAGGAUGCGAGCGUUAUCCGGAUUUAUUGGGUUUAAAGGGUGCGUAGGCGGGACGGUAAGUCAGCGGUAAAAAUGCGGAGCUCAACUCCGUCGAGCCGUUGAAACUGCCGUUCUUGAGUGAGCGAGAAGUAUGCGGAAUGCGUGGUGUAGCGGUGAAAUGCAUAGAUAUCGCGCAGAACUCCGAUUGCGAAGGCAGCAUGCCGGCUCCACACUGACGCUGAGGCACGAAAGCGUGGGUAUCGAACAGGAUUAGAUACCCUCGUAU
rnacentral:rRNA from 1 species